rnacentral:rRNA from 1 species
CAGCUUCGACCUCAGAUCAGGCGAGACGACCCGCUGAAUUUAAGCAUAUUACUAAGCGGAGGAAAAGAAACUAACAAGGAUUCCCUCAGUA